UUGAGGCCCAAAUGGACGAUCGCGAACCCGUAGAGUGCCCUUGGAGAGCGGUAAGGGGGGCGACAACCGCCGCCAUCUGCAACUGCCUCCUCGGGUGCCCCUGCUGCCACUGCCCCGUACGUCGUGUGGGACGAGCGGCGGUAACAAAUUUCCGACGCGGUGUGCGCCAAGGAGCAGCCCCGUUUGGAGGAGAGCGUAGCAUGCGGCAAAGCUUAUCGCGCCGCAGCACGGGACACGAUCCUGGUACGUCUAACCUGCAUAACUCUCGGCAACGGAUAUCUUGGCUCUCGCAUCGAUGAAGAACGUAGCGAAAUGCGAUACUUGGUGUGAAUUAUAGAAUCCCAUGAACCAUCRAGUCUUUGAACGCAAGUUAUGCCCGAGGCUAUCUGGCCAAGGGCACGCCUGCCUGGGCGUCACGCCUACCGACGCUCCGUGCCCCUUCCCUCGCCCUACGCGGUUCAAUGGCAGGCACGGAUAUGGAGAUUGGCUCCCCGCACAUUGCUGCGUAGCGGGUCAAAGUGCCGGCUGCCGGCUAGGCCGGACACGGCGAGUGGUGGAUUGGCACGCACGUCGCCACCGAAGUGACCUGGCUUGAGCGGUGCCCCGGAGGAACCCACGUCGAUGGGCGUGACGCGAGCGCUCCUCGAAACCCGACCCCAAGUCAGGCAGA
rnacentral:rRNA from 1 species